GAUGAACGCUGGCGGCGUGCCUAAUACAUGCAAGUCGAGCGAACAGACGAGGAGCUUGCUCCUCUGACGUUAGCGGCGGACGGGUGAGUAACACGUGGAUAACCUACCUAUAAGACUGGGAUAACUUCGGGAAACCGGAGCUAAUACCGGAUAAUAUAUUGAACCGCAUGGUUCAAUAGUGAAAGACGGUUUUGCUGUCACUUAUAGAUGGAUCCGCGCCGCAUUAGCUAGUUGGUAAGGUAACGGCUUACCAAGGCAACGAUGCGUAGCCGACCUGAGAGGGGGUUGGGCACCACGGAACUGGGGACACGGUCAAGACUCCAAGGGAAGGCAGCGGUAGGGAAUCUUCGGCAAGGGGGGAAAGCUUGACGAAGCAACGCCGGGGGGGUGAGGAAGGGCUUCGGAUCGUAAAACGCGGUUAUUGGGGAAGAACAAAUUUGUAAGUAACUAUGCAGGUCUGAAGGGUACCAAAUAAGAAGGCCAGGCCUAACUACGU
rnacentral:rRNA from 1 species